GAACUGCGAUAAGUAAUGUGAAUUGCAGAAUUCAGUGAAUCAUCGAGUCUUUGAACGCACAUUGCGCCCCCUGGCAUUCCGGGGGGCAUGCCUGUCCGAGCGUCAUUGCUGCCCUUCAAGCCCGGCUUGUGUGUUGGGUCGUCGUCCCCUCCGGGGGACGGGCCCGAAAGGCAGCGGCGGCACCGCGUCCGGUCCUCGAGCGUAUGGGGCUUUGUCACCCGCUCGAUAAGGACCGGCCGGGCGCCAGCCGGCGUCUCCAACCUUUUUUUCUCAGGUUGACCUCGGAUCAGGUAGGGAUAACCGCUGAACUUAAGC
rnacentral:misc_RNA from 1 species